GAUUUUUUGCUGGAAGUCAGAGAGAUCGGGACAUCUGUGCAGCUGUAAGAGAUAAACAAAUGAGCCCUCCCAUCACAUCUCAUGGCUAAGGUGCCUACGCUGACUGGCCAGUAAAAUGUUGUUGGUGCGAACAUACUGGCUUUUCCUCUCCACUUCAUGAAAUCAAGACAAACCAAAUACUGUUUUUUAUUCGUCUUCAAUAUCAGUGCUGGUACUAGUCUCAUUUUGGGCUGGAUAAUUCUUCAGGCGUUGGGGGUCGCGGGGCAUUCUGGACACUGUAGGAUGCUUCACAGCGUCUCUGGCUUUACUCAAAAGAUGGCAGUAACCCCCCACCUUCCAGUUGUGAAAACAAAAAAUGUGCCCAGACAUUGAUAAAUGUUCUGGGGCAGGAGAGCAAUCCUCACCCCUUCACCCUAUUGAAAACCCAUGCUUUAAAGAGGCUGUUUCUUACACUUCUUAACCCUUUUCCAUAGUUCAUAGGUUUUUAACUUUCCUCUAUUUCACUUGACUCUUCAAUUCUUUAUUAUCAUUAUGAUUUUACGACCAUCUUUCUACUUCCUGAACCUGAAAUUCUUUCACAUUUAGCUGUAGGAAUAGUAUGACAAAACAGACUUUCAGGGUUCAAUCUUGUCUUCAACUGGUGACAAAUCCAGCAUACCUUACAAAUCUGAACAAGUCAGAAGGAUAUAGGAAAAUGUAUUUUGAAAUACCUGGGCACUGGUUUAAUAAAGGACCUUCUACUUUAUCCACUGCCUUGUCUUCCUACCCUCCAGACACCCGUAAAGCUUGAUACCAUUUUGGAUGUCUGUAAACUGGCAUGUAACUUUUGCUGAUGCUAUUUGUGUUUCCUUUCAGUGCAAUAGAUAACACAGAUAGAAGUGCUUUGUGAACUAUGAAUCACGAUAUCAUACAGAGUGACACAUGCCUUCUAGGUCCACGUUGUAUAAUAGCAAUGAUGGGCUGACGCUACCCUAUUCUUGGGAUCCAAAAGGAUCCAGGUCUCUGAUAAAACAACUUUCUACCAAAGGCAGACCAGGCUCACAAUUUCUUCAUCUCACUAUUUAUACCAAUGCUUGUUUAAAAAAAAAAAAAAAAAA
rnacentral:lncRNA from 1 species